UAGUCCACGCCCUAAACGAUGUUCACUCGAUAUUGGCGAUACACUGUCAGUGUCUAAGCGAAAGCGUUAAGUGAACCACCUGGGGAGUACGUUCGCAAGAAUGAAACUCAAAGGAAUUGACGGGGGUCCGCACAAGCGGUGGAGGAUGUGGUUUAAUUCGAUGAUACGCGAGAAACCUUACCUGGGCUCGAACACUACUGGACCGUUCCUGAAAGGGAGCUUUUCUUCGGAACUAGUAGUGAGGUGCUGCAUGGUUGUCGUCAGCUCGUGCCGUGAGGUGUUGGGUUAAGUCCCGCAACGAGCGCAACCCUCAUCUUUAGUUGCCAGCAUGUUAUGAUGGGGACUCUAGAGAAACUGCCUACGCAAGUAGUGAGGAAGGGGGGAUGACGUCAAAUCAUCAUGGCCUUUAUGCCCAGGGCUACACACGUCCUACAAUGGCCAGUACAGAGGGCAGCGAUACCGAGAGGUGGAGCGAAUCCCAAAAAGCUGGUCUCAGUUCGGAUUGG
rnacentral:rRNA from 1 species